CCGGCCGGGUCGUUUCGGUCCCCAUUCCCCAUUCUUUCUCAGAAGACUCUUCAGUGGGUUCAGCACACGUCUCUCCCGUCCGCAACAGAGAAACAAGAUACCUGAGGGCCUCCCACGACCAUGUGACUUCUUACAGGGCAAGGACAGCCAUACCCAGCAAAGCUUCUAGUCCUCCUGCCACCCACCUCAUCACUUUCUUGCCUAUCACAAGCCAUGUUCCCCUGUGCACUGAGGGUUCCAGCCUCAGCCAUGGACCCUUUCAUCUUUUUAAGGUGCCCAGCACAUCUUCCCUUAGUUACUUCUACCACUGAAGUCUUGAAGCCCUCAGAGUCAUCCAAGAAGGUUGGAAUCAACUUCUUCCAAACUCCUGUUUAAGUUGACAUUGUGACCUC